GCACGGAGGGACCCCCCACCUAGAGUGGU
rnacentral:sRNA from 1 species